UGGGGAAUAUUGGGCAAUGGGCGCAAGCCUGACCCAGCAACGCCGCGUGAAGGAAGAAGGCUUUCGGGUUGUAAACUUCUUUUACCAGGGACGAAGAAAGUGACGGUACCUGGAGAAUAAGCCACGGCUAACUACGUGCCAGCAGCCGCGGUAAUACGUAGGUGGCAAGCGUUGUCCGGAUUUACUGGGUGUAAAGGGCGCGUAGGCGGGAUGGCAAGUCAGAUGUGAAGUCCAUGGGCUUAACCCAUGAACUGCAUUUGAAACUGUCGUUCUUGAGUGAUGGAGAGGCAAGCGGAAUUCCUAGUGUAGCGGUGAAAUGCGUAGAUAUUAGGAGGAACACCAGUGGCGAAGGCGGCUUUC
rnacentral:rRNA from 1 species